GCGGACGUAGCUCAGUUGGUAGAGCACCACCUUGCCAAGGUGGGGGUCGCGAGUUCGAGUCUCGUCGUCCGCU
rnacentral:tRNA from 5 species